UCGGAGGCUACUGGCUGGACCGCGGAGCGCAGGGCUCGCGGGUGACGGGGAGGGAGACACGCUCGACACGCACUGGCUCAAGCCGGGCCUGGUCCCGAGCGUUGGUAUCUGAGCGUUUCGUAACCGUACUUAGCCAGGUGGCCUCAAAGCGGUCUGGUGGGAGGUUUUGGAUGGAACUAUCUUGGCAAAAGCUGGACAAUGUUCCUUUAUUUGAAACACAUAUCUGGAAACAUCAUUAGUUCAGACAUUAAAAAUAAACUACUAGGAGUUGUGUGA